rnacentral:rRNA from 1 species
UACGUAGGGUGCAAGCGUUGUCCGGAAUUAUUGGGCGUAAAGAGCUCGUAGGCGGUUUGUCGCGUCUGCUGUGAAAACUCGGGGCUUAACCCCGGGCCUGCAGUGGGUACGGGCAGACUAGAGUGCGGUAGGGGAGACUGGAAUUCCUGGUGUAGCGGUGAAAUGCGCAGAUAUCAAGUGGAACACCAGUGGCGAAGGCGAAUCCCUGGAAAAUACCUGACACUGAGGCACGAAAGCUAGGGGAGCAAACAGG